rnacentral:miRNA from 12 species
GGGGGGGGCCGGGCAGCGAGCGGAGCCGAGCGGAGCCGAGCGGAGCGGAGCGUGGCGCCGCGCC